AGCAGCCGCGGUAAUUCCAGCUCCAAUAGCGUAUAUUAAAGUUGUUGCAGUUAAAAGCUCGUAGUUGAAUUUCGGGAUUGACGUAAUGGUCAUGCCUUAAGGGGUAUGAACUGUUACUGUUGAUUUCUCACCUUCUGGAGAAACUUGAUGUCCUUUAUUGGGUGUCUUGCGGAUCCAGGACCUUUACCUUGAAAAAAUUAGAGUGUUUAAAGCAGGCAUUUUUUGCUUCGAAUACAUUAGCAUGGAAUAAUAGAAUAGGACGGCAUGGUUCUAUUUUGUUGGUUUCUAGGAUCACCGUAAUGAUUAAUAGGGAUAGUUGGGGCAUUAGUAUUCAAUUGUCAGAGGUGAAAUUCUGGAUUUACUGAAGACUAACUACUGCGAAAGCA
rnacentral:rRNA from 1 species